AACCGGUGAAAUAUGUCAAAGUACCAAACAAAUUCCGCAUUUUAAAGCUUAAUAUUAACCAAUUAUUACUUGCUAUUUAAAUUCGUAUGGCAUAGUCGUGCUCUUUGAUUUCUCUAACUUAUGAAUUUUGCUAACAGCUGCCUAAGCAACACUCUAUAAAUAAGGUAGAUUUAUGGAAAGCCUGAAGAACUACCACUUAUAGAACAUGAGCGUCGAACUUAAUCCAAACGUGCCACUCCGGAACUUCUUAUUGGCCGGUGGAAUCGCAGGAAUGGCUGUAGAUGCUGGGCUAUUUCCACUAGAUACUUUGAAAACAAGACUUCAAAGUCCUGACGGUUUUGUCAGGUCAGGAGGGUUUCGUGGAGUAUAUUCUGGACUCGGAACGGCUGUCUUGGGCUCAGCUCCCACCGCGGCUCUGUUUUUUUGCACUUACGAGAAUACCAAACGUAUAUUAAAACAUAAUGGCAUCUUCACUGUUUGGGAACCAGUUGUUCACAUGACCAGUGCAGCAUUUGGUGAAGUCGCAGCGUGCAUGAUACGCGUUCCUGUCGAGGUCGUCAAACAAAGACGGCAAGCUGGAUUCCAUUCAUCCAGUGUACAUAUAUUACGAUCAAUCCUACGCAGCGAAGGAAUCGCUGGGCUGUAUAGGGGUUACACCACGACCGUUCUCCGAGAAAUUCCAUUUUCAUUCAUUCAGUUUCCUCUGUGGGAAGGAAUGAAAUCUUUUUGGUCAGAAAAGCAAGGUCGACCAGUCAGCGCGUGGCAAUCAUCAAUUUGCGGCGCUCUUUCAGGUGGAAUAGCUGCAGCAGUCACAACGCCUCUUGACGUAGCCAAAACGAGAAUCAUGUUGGCUGAUUCUGCCAGUAUCGAGGCAGGUGGAAAACUUGUGUUAGUUUUGAGAAGCAUUUAUUUCGCACAGGGUAUCAAAGGCCUUUUUGCAGGGAUUGUCCCGCGAGUUCUUUGGAUAUCAAUUGGAGGAGCUAUCUUUCUUGGAGUAUAUGAUAAAGCGUUGACUACGUUGAACGCAUGACCAUGUGCCUGUUUGGAAAGCAAUGCGUGAAAACCAACAACCAAGUUCUCAACAAAAUGUGAUAUUACAAGUAUUGCUCAAUUUACUUGGUUCACCUAAAAGCACAGAAAAUAUCUCGUUGAGCCUAUCUAGGAUAGGGUAAGGGGUAGUAAAAUUAGAACCCGCACAACCGCCUGUUCAAUUAACUUAUUGAGGUAUCUGUAGAACGUCUUUUGAAAAUGGUAGGACGUUUAUACUAAUUCUCAAAGUAUGUGGUAUCAGGAAGUUUGCAUUUACACAGAUCUCGAAUUGGUUAUGACAUUACAACAUGUUUUCGAUCAACUGUGAUGUUUUUAAGUAAACUGUUUAACUUGGAUUUCCCAAGGAAGAUCUGCAGUGUUUGUUUCUCCAAAGUAAAACCAUAUCCUGAAAGUUGCAAUGAAAACAAAGCGGAUUAAACAUGGAAAAUCCUAUAGAAAUUA